UGAGAUGAUGAUCGCACUGGGCUCUGAAUGUUUUGAUGGACAAUGCAGCCUAGAAAGCUAUGUCUGAUCA
rfam:Solanum tuberosum cultivar DM 1-3 516 R44 scf00674_8, whole genome shotgun sequence.